GUUAAAUGUUAACUCACGUUGCCUGGCAGGUGAAACACACAAAGUCUGCAAAAAUCUGAAUCAACAAAACCUUGCUAACUGUGACCAUGCUGAAGUAUGUUCGCUGUACCUGUACCAAUGCCAACAGGAAGUGCAAUGUGUUGUCAUAGAAAUCAGAGCCCUGACUUCCACAACAGUGUCAUAGGAAUCGUACUUAGGCAGGAGAUUUUACUGAUGCAUUCCUAAAGAGCACAUUACUGCCUUUGGACAACAUCUGCUUAUACUGAGAUACUUUGCUAACUUUUUUGAAGGCCCCAUAGAGGAAUCUCUGGAUUGUAUUAUGGGGUGCAACACAAGUAAAGGUACUCAAGCCACAGAUCCAUCCAAAAAACCUAAAGACAGACCCAAAUCUGUCGACUCAUCGGACAAAGAAGAAGAGGACCAUGUCAGUGAAAUCUCACACACAGAGAAUAACGAAGUGGAGACAGAAGACAGCUGAAAAUGACAAUUUUUUCUAGUGUUACCUUCCUCAAGCUUCUAUGGUAAUUGCCAUUUCUAUUCGGUCCAGCUGUGAUCGGCUGAAGUUUCCAGAAGAGUGCAAGGAGAUCUGCACCAGCCUGUUUCUUUACAUGAUGUCUAUUUAUAUACACAUAUUCUCAUCUCAUCACGUCAUCUCUGUCCAUCAUAACUUCUUCAAUACCUUCUUUCUGUAUGUAUUUUUGGUUCCUUGUAUGACCAGAGGUUAAAGAUUCAUUGUUAUUGUGAUAUUAGCAGAUCUUUUCUUAUAUUAUUAGCCGAUUCUAUUCUUUAAGAAUGUAAAUAAAUAUUCUUAAGAAAUGAAAAAUGCAUUAUUUAUUUUGCACAAAAAAAAAGAAAAAGAAAGAAUAAAUACCAUUAAAAUGUAAAACUUGAGCCCUGGAAUUUAGCUGUAAUAUCUUCCAAGACCAGCAGAUGCCUCUCUCUGUCUAUUUACAGUUUUUUUUUUCAACCGCUUACACACAAAAUCUUUACUUGUCACACAAUUUCUGAAAGCUGACACUCAAACACCAGAAGCACACACCAUAUCUGCAAAACCAUACACUAAUUCUCUGCCUUUUUGCAAAGCACAUCACACUAUUCUCUAUGUAACACAAAAAUCUAACAGGAAAUAACAUUAUGGCAAAAGUGUUUGCGAAUGUUUGCUUGUGAGAUGUGUUUGUGAUAUUUUGAAGGCAGUGUUGCAUUUUGCAUUUUGCCGUUUGUGUGUGCAAUUUUUGGAUUUGUGUGUAAAGUUUUGAAAAAAAGUUUUGAAAAUGUGUGUAAGCAGUUGAAAAACACUGUAAAUGUAAAUAUGGUUCAUUGAUACGUUUGAUAAAAAUGGAACCUUUGUGAGACCAAGUACAAUAAGAAAUUGUAAAGUUAUUAACAAAAUAAAUAAAUAAACAACUAAACAAAUAGUGUAAAUUAAUUCAUAAAAACUUGCUACGUGUUUAGUAUUGUGUUAGACUGACUGGGACAUGUCACAGCACUUACUUAUUGAUGCCCUUUUGUUGGUUUUAUUUGUCACUUUCGAUUAAAACUGC
ensembl:lncRNA